GAUGAAGAACGUAGCGAAAUGCGAUAAGUAGUGUGAAUUGCAGAAUUCAGUGAAUCAUCGAAUCUUUGAACGCACAUUGCGCCCCUUGGUAUUCCAUGGGGCAUGCCUGUUCGAGCGUCAUUUGUACCCUCAAGCUCUGCUUGGUGUUGGGUGUUUGUCCACUCCCUGGUGUCUGGACUCGCCUUAAAGCAAUUGGCAGCCAGUGUUUUGGUAUUGAAGCGCAGCACAUUUUGCGUCUCCAGCCUAGAACGCUUGCGUCCAGUAAGCCUUUUUCCACUUUUGACCUCGGAUCAGGUAGGACUACCCGCUGAACUUAAGCAUAUCAAUAAGCGGAGGA
rnacentral:misc_RNA from 1 species